AUGGAUGCUCCUGAUUGGGUGUUCGAAGAAAUAGAUGCAUGGAUGAGAUCCUUCUUCUGGGCGGGCAAAGACAAAACCAAUGGAGGUCAAUGCUUGGUGGCUUGGAAAACCAUUUGCAGACCAACUUGCUUCGGUGGGUUGGGAGUCAAAAACCUGAAACUCCAAGCCCUAGCGCUUUGAGUUAGGUGGGAGUGGCUGAGCAGAGUCGACAAGGACAGGCCAUGGAGCAACCUUGCGCUAACGGUCGAUACUGAUGCUAGAAUGGUGUUUGACAUCCUGGUGGGAAUAGAGGUUGGACGUGGUGAUCGGGUUCUCUUCUGGAGAGACAGAUGG
rnacentral:rRNA from 1 species